rnacentral:lncRNA from 1 species
UUUUUUUUUUUUGGCUUCUUUUUUUUUUUUUUUUUUUUUUUUUUUUUUGCGUCUUAGAGCCAGGCAUAUGGAAGUUCCCGGGCUAGGAGUGGAACAGCAGCUAUAGCUGCCAGGCUCCACAGCCAUGCAGAAUCCGAGCCGCAUCUGUGAUUUACACUGCAGCUCACAGAAAUGAUGAUCCCCGACCCACUGAGUGAGGCCAGGGAUGCAACACCCAUCUUCAUGGAUACUAGUUGGAUUUGUUUCUGCUGAGCCCCAAUGGGAACUCCUGUAUUAACAUUUUUGAUGGAUUUUUGUACAGAUGUUUCUAAUCCUCCCAACGACUCUAGGACGUAUUAUUAUCCCCAUUUUACUGAUGAGGAGACUGAGGCAUGGAGAAAUUAAAUGCUCUACCAAGAAGACACUGCUGGGGCAUGGAAACCAGAGUUCAGACCUAGGCAGUGUGGCUCCAGGCCCACGACCUCAGCCCUACAAUCUGUGCCUCUAAGGGCUCCUGAAAGAACCACACCACAGGAUCCCUUCUUACUUAUUACUAUCCAAAGACCACAAAAACCAAGUUCUCGGAAAGCUACGUGGAGGCCAGCGCUGUCCAACAGAAUUUUCUGCGAUGAUCAGAAUGUUCCAUCUCUGCACUGCUGAAUAGUUGAAAUGUGGCCAGUGUAACUGAGGAAUAGAAUCUUUCCUUUCAUUUCACCUUAAUGAACUUACAUUUAAAUUGUCAAGAGUGGGAGUUCCCACUGUGGCUCAGCGGAAACGAAUCCGACUGGUAUCCUUGAGGAUGCAGGUUCGAUCCCUGGCCUUGCUCAGUGAGUUGGGGAUUCGGUGUUGCUGUGGGCUACGGUGUAGGUCGCAGAUGUGGCUUGGAUCCCAUGGUGGUGUGGCUGUGGUGUAGGCCGGCAGCUUAGCUCUGAUUGGACCCCUAGCCUGGGAACUUCCAUACGCUGAGGGUGCAACCCUAAAAAGCAAAACAUCAGUCAAUGGAUCAAUCAACAAAAAUAAAUAAAUUGUCAAGUGUGGGAGUUCCUGUUAUGGCUCAGCAGGUUAAGAACCCAACUAGUAGGGAGUUCCCGUCGUGGUACAGUGGUUAAUGAAUCCAACUAGGAACCACAGGGUUCAGGGCUCGAUUCCUGGCCUCACUCAAUGGUGGCCAGGAGUUCCCGUUGUGGCUCAGUGGUUAACGAAUCCGACUAGGAACCAUGAGGUUGUGGGUUCAAUCUCUGGCCUUGCUCAAUGGGUUAAGGAUCCGGCAUUGCCGUGAGCUGUGGUGUAGGUUGCAGACACAGCUCGGAUCCCACGUUGCUGUGGCUCUGGUGUAGACCAGCGGCUGCAGCUCUGAUUCAACCCCUGGCCUGGGAACCUCCAUAUGCCGUGGGUGCAGCGCUAAAAAGAAAAACAAACCAAAAUAAAUAAAUAAAUAGCCAAGUGUGGCUUGCUGCUGCCUAUCGGCUGGCACAGGUGAGACCUAAGUUUGGUGAGUCCAAAACUGUGACAUUUCAAACAUUACCCAUAAUGGAUAAUUCCUACCCAAAACGAUGGCUUCAGAAGGAUGUCACUCAAGCUGAUGCAUCUUCUCACAGCAUCCUCUCCAACCCUGUGCAGGUUUUAGUUCAUUUCUCAUAAUUCCAAGGCAGAAAGCAAGCCAGUGGUCAGAGACGCUGACAAGGACUUCCACAUGGAGUGGGAGCGUAUUAGCUGGCCGGGCAAUGCCUUAAGAACACUGCUGUGGGGUGUGGGGUUGGGGCAUUUUCAGACUCUAGGGUCACCCUACUGAGCUGAAAAAACAGGCCAAAGGUGAGCUUAUCACUGAAUGUGAACGUAUGCUCAAGCCCAGGGCCCCAGCCCACCCCGACACUGAUGUGAUGAGCAGACACUGGCCAUCCUGCCUGAGACAGUGACUUCUUGCUCUUCCAGGUCUCCGGUCAGCCUUGGGGUCAGGGCCUCUGACUGGACAAACCAAGCCCAUCCCAGGCGAUUCCUAACACAUGCGUCUCCCUCUCCUCCACCACUGGUUCCACGAAGCUCAAACCCAAAUUCAGGCUAGAUUUCAACUCAAAUGAUAAAUGAAACCAAGAUCAGAAGUUGCGAGCACUACUCUAGCAGAGGACAAUUUUAUUCUCAUUAAUCCCAAAUCUAUGUGGCUGGUGGGGAAGAAGGUGCCUCCUUUCUGUUACCCACAUUUCCCAGACCCAAGCUGCACAAGCAUGGUGGGAGGGCAGGACUGAGCCACUGGACGAUGACCCCCCACCCCCAGAAAGGCAGGGGGCCCAGACUGGAGAAGGAACCACCCAGCUACUUAGGGGCAGAGUCCCCGGCCCAGUCCUCACGCUCCACCAUACAGCUCCCCACCCAGGCCCUGCCUUAAGGGCUCUGGAGAGAAGCACUUGUUCACACUCACACCAAACCAGAGACUGCAAUUAAACAAACAACGAACAAAAAACCCCCACCAAUUCUCCCCCCAUUCCUUUCCACCUCCACCUCCCUCUUCCAAACAGCAGGCACAAAAUCCAAAAUCCAUAAUCCAUACAAACAAGUUAUUCCUUGCCCAUGGAGGUCAAAAGUUGACCCAGCACAAAAUCAGAUGGCAAACCAGACUCUAAACUCCUGAAGUGUUGGGUCUGAAAAGCCCAAUCUCGCCCCAAGUUCCCAGGGACCCUUCUCGGCAGGAAACCAGGCAUUGUGAAGGGGCCUUGGACAUCCCGCAAGGCUCCAGGGAUUAUGGAGCGAAAGCCUGCCCAUCCCCCCCCCCCAGGUCAGGAGCCCCCGGACUGCCCUUAACCUUCAGGAAAGGAGCUGAUAAUCCACCCCGGCACCUCUCACCCCAAUGCGACGUCCUCACUGACUCUCAAGGCCAUCUUUCCAGAUGCCUGCAUGCAGCGGUCCACAGGCCAGACCGGAAAUACUUGCUAACUGACCAGCGAGGUCCUGGGCUUUCCUCAAGGCAAGGGGAUGGAGGUCGGUAGAAGGGCACGUGGGUAGAUAUUACAACCCCACCCUUGGUCCUCAGGCAGGCACAUCUCCUCCUGCCCCAGAGCCACAAAAGUCUUCAUUGUGGUGGCAAACAUGAAAAAGUCUCUCUUGAAAAUUCUCCGUGAAAACAGAGAGUAGCUACACUUUUAUGAUAAAGAUGAAGGAAUAAAUGGAUUAAACGAAUGCUAUUCUGCCCUUACCUAACUCAGGAGCUUCAUUAAGAAGCCCUUGGCAGAAGCAGGACAACUGAGGCUCCAUGGAUGAUGUCCUUCUCACCCCAGGUGCAACUCUCAAAAGGCACAUCCCAGAUUACCCCAGGGGUUUGAUGCUGAAAUCUUGAAACCGUAUGAAACUUCUCCAAACCUCAACCAAGGUUCCAGUCAAUGAAAGCCUCCUAGUACCAGAAAUUACACCUGCACUCACACAGGCCCACUGCCUUUGGUGGGUUCAUGCAUCCGCAAAGCUGUGACACACAAGAUGCCCAGGAGUGACCUCCACACCUGUCCUCUGACUGUUGACCACCACACUCAGGGAGUUAGAUCUCUAUUCCAUAAACCCCUCCUUUCACCAACAGCAACGGCCUUGAGCCUGAGGCCCAACCAUCUGAAAGUUGCACCUGCUACUUGCGUCAGCUUCGAGAACUUACUUCUAUCCACAAAUAGUUUAUCGGCUUUAAGCCACCUCAUUGAGACUUCCUUGGAGACAGGGACCCCAUCUUAUUCAUAUGUAUUCCCAGAGCUCAAUACAGGUGCCCAGAUGCUCAGUCAACAAAGAGCUGCCAAAUAAGUGAACGCAGCACACCUGGGAAGCAUCUACCCAUUUCGAGGCUUCUGCACACACAGUGGCAGUCAAAGGUAGCAUGUGGAAUGCCAGUGGGCAGACGUGUAAAAAAUGCACUAGACUUGAGUAAGAGGAUGAGGGUUCAAGCUCCAAGUUGGCCUAAAAUCCACUUGACUGUGCUGGGCAAAUCACCCAGUCUCUGGGGUCUUAUUUUUUUCUUCUAUAAACAGUAGAAGAUGUUUAGGUUUCCCUUUAGCCCUUAAACUUGUAAAAUACGAAGAAAAGACAUGCCCUUGAGCUAUGGCCACAGUAUUAACUUGAUGAUAAGGACAAUGAAAAUACAGCAGCCAGAGGCAGCUAUUUUCACUCAGAUGUGGGCUGAGGAGAGGCAGCAACUUUAAAAGGAGGUAAAGCCUCCAUUCACUCGCCCCCCAGUCACCUGGGACGCACAGCUUUAGGUCACCCUCCAGAGGCUCCUUCAGGGAGAUGCAAACUUCACUGUUGCAGGCAGAAAAGCCUCCAAGUGGAGCAAUGACCCACAGGCAUCACUUCCACAUAAUAAACAGAUUCAACUCAGACAAAGGAAAAUAAAGUGGCCUGUGGCUACAUUCCCCAUUCGCAGAAGCAUCAGGCUGAGCUUUAAAUGUGAGCCAGGCGUGGCUGACUUCUUAUUUUGGCUCCGACUCUAACUCGGAGCGGAUGGUCCUCGGCCAAGCCUCUCCUCUAGAAGCCAGGCUCUGGAUGGGCAAGACAACCCCCAUAAACCAUCCAGAUUACAGGGUGAGGCUAGUAAAGCAUUUCACAGAUAGGAAGAGCUGCCAGCCUCUCGAGACAGACAGGAGAGAAGCCGUCACAAGGCAACGUGGCUCGGGCGGAGGGCCACAGAGCAGCGCCGUGCCUAACCCUGUGCACUCCCCAAUCCCCACCGGAGGCCUCCCAGCACCCCCACCCCCAUGACAGGGCUCCUCCAGGAGACCUGCCUGCAAAGCUCUUUAAGCCACACAGCUGGUUAACCAGCUGUGACUAGGUGAGGCUGGUUUCCCUCUACCCAGGACACUUGAGAUGCGGAGGUAGGUCAAGGCAAAGCCACAGAUUGGACGAGACAAAGGUCUGCUCAUGAAACGAGAAGCGCUGUCUUAGGAGCCAUGGCAGUGGUUUUACUGUUUUCUUUUCCCUUUUUUUUUUUUUUGCCCCCUUUUCUUUAACGAUUAGGUACCAGUGGACACCAGAUACACAGCACUGGAUAACAAGGUUUAGAGAUCGUAUCAGUAAAGGUUCCCACCAAAGCCUACUAAUAGCGCUCUGGCUGAUUAGAAAUCACUUCUGCAGUUCGGGAACUCUAACCCGCUCUUAUCAACCCUCCAGCUUAGGCAUCUAUCAGGGUGGGAACGGGAGGGACAUCAGCUCUGCCACAGAGUGAUUUCUGGGGCCCCUGUCCACGACUGAGCAGAUCAAAAAGGAGCUCAUGCCUGCCCGAGGGAAGUUUUCUCCAUAGCAACACAUGCUACUCUGCAAACAGGCGGGACUAAGGCACUCUGCUGUGACCAGGCCAGAUAGUGCCCCCCACUCGCAAAACAGCAACCGAGGGUGCAGCCGCACGCAGAUGGAGCAAGAGAAAAGUGGCAUCAACUUAGCUGGCGGGGCGGCGUCCUCCAGCAGGUAACAGUGGCAGCUCUGAGACCUGCCAGCACCCCUGCCCUCGUUCAAAGACAGACAGCAGAGGGACAACACGUGUUCUCUGUGGAGCAGGGAAAGAGGCUCCCAGAGUAGAGCAGAGCGAUCACCCCUUUUGGAGCAGAUGGCUGGCACUGGAAAAACUUGGGGAAAGGUUUCCAGUGGCAAACCAGGUCGUAUUGAAAAUGAAAUCUGAGCCGGUCUGAUGGCGGAAGCUGUGUGCGCACACACCCAACUGGGACCCCAAUAAGGGUGGCCACCAGCUUGGCGUCUGAGACCAUCAAUUAAGUGCCUGUGGGCCCGACCCGGUUUGGGACUUUUGUGUAUUCAACCUGCAGGGAGGGUUAAAAACUCACCCCCUGAAAACUGCCACCUUUCUGAAUGUCACAUUUUUGCCAAGGGAAGCAACAGGGAUCACUGAGGUGCCCUUACAUCCCAUGGGACAGGAUUCGGCCUGAGGCUGCACCGGGAGGAACACGAGCCCCAGACCUCUGCUCUAUUGCUCAGAUCCCUGAAAGGCGGGUAGAAGUCCAGCCACAGAACAAGGGCACCCAAGAGAGUAAGUGGCCCUUCUCGGCUUCCCCUGACUCAUUUCUCUAGAACGUGGGCCAUGUUAGAGGCUAGAGAGGAAGAUGCAGACAGUCAGCAACUAAAAAAGCUGGUAGAGGAAUGCUGUCAAAAGCACAUUAGGAGUUAGUCAAAGAGAGAGGACAUAUGUCCACGGACAUACCCUUGUGCUCUGUGUUAACACAAUGUAAGCAAAACUGUCUUACAGCACCGAUGCUACUACGCAUGGGGACCAGCAGCCUCACCUCAGGUUGUGAUGCCCAUGGGCACAUCCAGGAGGAUGUCCUGCUGGGCUGUGACACAACAGGCUCCUCCUGUAUAUGCUGCAAACACAUCAUCCUGACAAGUACACCAUGGUGUCAGCCAACAGGGAAGAAGGUAGUUCCCAGACAGAAGGUGGCCAUGCCACAUUGGCCUCCCAAAUGACGAAAAAGCAAAAACUAGCUACUACCCCCAAAGUUCUCUGGGUCCUAAAUUCUUAAAGUCAUCAUAGACCCAACAGGAACCCAACCUCCAAAUGACAGGCCUAGCACUUCAGAAUCAUUUCUGUGCUACAGAGCCAGCGGUGCCUGCAA